CGCACACAAUGAACCCUAAUCUUCUGUAUUUCCUCUCCCGUUCCGGCACCGUCGCUGCCACCGAGGAUAACCGCCUCAUUGGGUGCCCCAUUCUCUCCAUCUGUCGUGCCAUCUCCGUGCUCGAAAGCAUCGCCGCCGCGUCGUCACAAGCAGCGCCGCCUUCCUCACGGUAUCCUUCCCUCUCAUGAAAUUGCGUUGCAGAAUCCCUUAUCCACUCUGCAAUAACCACCAAGUGUGAUGACCAUGAAUCAAUCAAAUGGCUUCUUUAACUUGUUCAUCAUCUUCAUCCUUCUUAACAAAGCUUCCUCUUCAUUCCUCAACACCUCUAAAAAGAACAAGAAGAAGAAGCAACCAUGAUUUUCUAAGAAUGGUGACUCGUUCCUGUCUCGAUGACAAUUCAGCACUUCUCCGAGCAGCUCAAUACACUGAAUUUAUCUUCAAGAGGACUCACUGGACACAUAGCAGUUUAUAUCUCUAAGCUUACUGAGUUAGAGUCCUUGGAUUUAUCAAAUAAUAGCUUAAUUGGGGCGAUAACUGUUUUUCUGGUAGAAAACCUGCCAUCGCUUAGAGUCCUGUAAGUUUAUUUCAUACUCUCAGCAUUAAUAUAAAUUAUUAAUUUUGUUGUUACAAAAAAAUAAAGAAACAUUUUCUUU